UGGGGAAUUUUACGCAAUGGGGGAAACCCUGACGUAGCGACACCGCGUGAGCGAAGAAGCCCUUUGGGGUGUAAAGCUCUGUCAACAGGAACGAAACAAAUGACGGUACCUGUGGAGGAAGCAUCGGCUAACUACGUGCCAGCAGCCGCGGUAAGACGUAGGAUGCAAGCGUUGUCCGGAUUUAUUGGGCGUAAAGAGUUCGUAGGCGGUUUGUUAAGUCUGAUGUUAAAGACCGGGGCUCAACCUCGGAAAUGCAUUGGAUACUGGCAGACUGGAGUGCAGUAGAGGCUAGUGGAAUUCCCAGUGUAGCGGUGAAAUGCGUAGAUAUUGGGAAGAACACCGGUGGCGUAGGCGACUAGCUGGGCUGUAACUGACGCUGAGGAACGAAAGCCAGGGGAGC
rnacentral:rRNA from 1 species